rnacentral:rRNA from 1 species
AGCGAACGCUGGCGGCAGGCCUAACACAUGCAAGUCGAACGGAUCCUUCGGGAUUAGUGGCGGACGGGUGAGUAACACGUAGGAACGUGCCCUUUGGUUCGGAACAACUCAGGGAAACUUGAGCUAAUACCGGAUGUGCCCUUCGGGGGAAAGAUUUAUCGCCAUUGGAGCGGCCCGCGUCUGAUUAGCUAGUUGGUGAGGUAAAGGCUCACCAAGGCGACGAUCAGUAGCUGGUCUGAGAGGAUGAUCAGCCACACUGGGACUGAGACACGGCCCAGACUCCUACGGGAGGCAGCAGUGGGGAAUCUUGGACAAUGGGCGCAAGCCUGAUCCAGCCAUGCCGCGUGAGUGAAGAAGGCCUUCGGGUUGUAAAGCUCUUUUGUCAGGGACGAUAAUGACGGUACCUGAAGAAUAAGCCCCGGCAAACUUCGUGCCAGCAGCCGCCGUAAGAC